GGAAGUUUGGCAGAGUGGUCGAUUGCACUGGUCUUGAAAACCAGAGAUCCGAGAGGAUCCCAGGGUUCGAAUCCCUGAGCUUCCGCCA
rnacentral:tRNA from 4 species